UACAUCUUAGUAUAGUAUGUAUAUUAAUUUUUGAUAUUAAGGGGGAUAGUUAAAUUCUAUUAGGUGUAA
rnacentral:tRNA from 1 species